CGAGUGGCGGACGGGUGAGUAACGCGUGGGUAACCUGCCUUACACAGGGGGAUAACACCUGGAAACAGGUGCUAAUACCGCAUAAGCGCACAGGGCCGCAUGGCCCGGUGUGAAAACUCCGGUGGUGUAAGAUGGACCCGCGUCUGAUUAGCUUGUUGGCGGGGUAGAGGCCCACCAAGGCGACGAUCAGUAGCCGGCCUGAGAGGGUGGACGGCCACAUUGGGACUGAGACACGGCCCAAACUCCUACGGGAGGCAGCAG
rnacentral:rRNA from 1 species